rnacentral:rRNA from 1 species
AACGAACGCUGGCGGCAUGCCUAACACAUGCAAGUCGAACGAGACCUUCGGGUCUAGUGGCGCACGGGUGCGUAACGCGUGGGAACCUGCCCUUAGGUUCGGAAUAACUCCCCGAAAGGGGUGCUAAUACCGGAUAAUGUCUUCGGACCAAAGAUUUAUCGCCUUGGGAUGGGCCCGCGUUGGAUUAGCGAGUUGGUAGGGUAAAAGCCUACCAAGGCGACGAUCCAGAGCUGGUCUGAGAGGAUGAUCAGCCACACUGGGACUGAGACACGGCCCAGACUCCUACGGGAGGCAGCAGUGGGGAAUAGUGGACAAUGGGCGAAAGCCUGAUCCAGCAAGGCCGCGUGAGUGAUGAAGGCCUUAGGGUUGUAAAGCUCUUUUACCCGGGAUGAUAAUGACAGUACCGGGAGAAUAAGCGCCGGCUAACUCCGUG